rnacentral:rRNA from 1 species
GAUAAACGCUGGCGGCGUGCCUAACACAUGCAAGUCGAGCGCGCUUUGCUUCGGUGAAGCGAGUGGCGGACGGGAUAAUAACGCGUGGGAACCUACCUUUUGGUUCGGAAUAACAUCGGGAAACUGGUGCUAAUACCGGAUAAGCCCUUCGGGGGAAAGAUUUAUUGCCGAAAGAUGGGCCCGCGUUGGAUUAGCUAGUUGGUGAGGUAAUGGCUCACCAAGGCAACGAUCCAUAGCUGGUCUGAGAGGACGAUCAGCAUCACUGGGACUGAGACAC